GUGGGGAAUUUUGGACAAUGGGCGCAAGCCUGAUCCAGCAAUGCCGCGUGUGUGAAGAAGGCCUUCGGGUUGUAAAGCACUUUUGGCAGGAAAGAAAUAGCGCGUGCUAAUACCAUGCGCGAAUGACGGUACCUGCAGAAUAAGCACCGGCUAACUACGUGCCAGCAGUCGCGGUAAGACGUAGGGUGCAAGCGUUAAUCGGAAUUACUGGGCGUAAAGCGUGCGCAGGCGGUUUUGUAAGACAGGUGUGAAAUCCCCGGGCUCAACCUGGGAACUGCACUUGUGACUGCAAGGCUAGAGUGUGUCAGAGGGAGGUGGAAUUCCGCGUGUAGCAGUGAAAUGCGUAGAGAUGCGGAGGAACACCGAUGGCGAAGGCAGCCUCCUGGGAUAACACUGACGCUCAGGCACGAAAGCGUGGGGAGCAAACAGGAUUAGAUACCCGAGUAGUCC
rnacentral:rRNA from 1 species